GGUGGAGGGGGCGGAGCUGCUGCCUUUAUGGCAGGGCAGCAGGGGGUGAAGUGGAGCCAGGACAGGUGGCCCGAAUGAGGCAAUUAGGCCAGCCAUGACCCAUCACACCGAAGGGCAUAAAGCUGUGGAGGAGUUGGCCGAGAGGUAACAAUGUGGAUCGUCUGCUGGUGAGCGGAGGGAGGUUUUGUCUUGCUGGUGGAGUGUCUAAUGGCUGCUGUGCAUUAGUCAGCAAGUGGUAACAGUGCCUGAGGAGAUACAUUAAGGGAAACAGAAGGCUCCUCUUCCUCAUCUCUAACGUGUUUGGCUGCAGACACCACAAGCUGAAAUUCUGAGUGACAAGCAUCAUUUCUAAGACCACAAUUUCACUUGGAAAAGUGGAGCAGAGUUGGAGGAGGAGAUGGAGGAAGAGAGAUUAAACAACUCAGAAAACAGAUGGAGAAAUGGAAUAGAAUCACUACUGGUUUAACUUUAAAAUCACCUCAGUGGAUAUUUUCAACAUUGGACAGCAAGGCAUACAUUUUCAUAAAAUACAAAGGAAAAAGUAAUACGAAAGCAAAGAAACAUCAAUCUUCUGGUAAGUUCAAAUAUGCUAUUUUUAUGCUGUGAGACUGUGGAAGGUGAGAUGCAGCCUCACUUUAGUAGCGUGCUGAUAAUCUAUGUUUAUGUUUUAAAAAAGCACAAGGCACAAACAUUAUUUUCAAAGACUGGAUGCUUUCUCCCUUUCUGUACUAAGUUUGUGCUUAUGUCUUGUAUAAUGAUGUCUUAUGAGUUUAAUUUUCAAAUACCAUUUUUAAAUGUACAUUCAGCUACAGUUGUUGAAGUGGGGAAAAAAAUAAAGGUUUCCAUGCAAAAUUUAGCACCAUUCCAUCAAGGUUUAUAUAAGAGACCCAAUCAGGCCAGGAUCCAUCAACUGGAAUCUUCAAGAAACUCUUGGGUAGUUCUUUUCCCCAUUUUUGCUGCCACCACCGAUGAGCAACUUGGUUUUCCUUUACGAAGUUCACUCCUUACUCUGCCAAAAGAGUCUUGGCAAAUAUUUUUUACAUGAAACAGACGGUCUGUAAUUAAAUGCUUGUAGAUGGCUGAACACAGUGCAUUAUGAAUGCUCUGGGACAUAUAAACAUCCUACAAGAAGAAUUUUGUCUAUAAUAUGAGUGAUCAAAAUGAAUGAAUUCUAAGCACAAUUUGAUAAAAUCUGUAAGACAACACAGCAACACUUCUGUCCCAUUAAAACUACUGUGAGAGUACUAUUGUUCUACCGUACCUUUAAAAAGCUCUGGAGAUCACCAAAGAAAGGAAGAUUUUUCAUGUUUUACUCCAGAGAAAAGAGCCAAUGCACCCCAAAGCACAGCUCAGGCAAAAGAACAUACAUGAAACCUGUAAACAUUAACAGCAAUUCUUCUGGAUGUAGGAUCUGAAUGUUUUUGCUUUCUUCACCCAAAUAAUCCAGUCCUUCCUUUCUGCAGAUCUUGUAUCAGUAGGCUUAUAGUAAGGUUGAUCAACUGUUAACUUUUCAAUUGUGAUUUUGACUUGUGCACCACUUUGCAGCAACAGAUGAAAGAUACAAGAAUUCUUCCACUGCUUGCCUGAGAAGUGGAGUGAAGCAUUUGUGGAUUCUGUGCCAUGUUAAUAUGGACAGGUAGCUUCAGUGGAAUACUUCCCAUUGUGAAGAUGUAUCUACAGGACUUCUGGAUGAGAGUAUUCAUCUUGACCAAUCUUUAGCAUGUACACAUUAUGCAUUGCCCAAGUGCAACUUUCUCAUUUGAUCCCAGUUUCCAAAUGACUUUCCAUUAUCUCAAGCUCUAAUAGAUUACUUAGUGUAGUCUGUAUGUAUAAGUCUAUAUGUCUAGUAUUAGAUAUGGAGGUUGGUGGCCCUGCAUGCGGCAGGGGGACUGGAGCUUGAUGAUCCUUGAGGUCCCUUCCAACACGAGCCAUUCUAUGAAUCUGUGAAAAAAGUAAACAUAAUGCACCUGAAUUGCCACUCCCAAGAAAAGCAACAUGACUCCAGCUUAAGGGCAUAUACCGGCUCAUGUGGGAGCAUGUUUAAAACGGGUUGGGAAAUGUUGAAUAUUUGGUUUUGAUUGAAAAAAAAUAUUUUGACAUUUCGGAACUGAUUUUUUUUCUAAACGUGUUGGUCUUUGGAUGAAAAUAGUUUUAAAAAUAUCAGCUUCUUUCCCUAUGAAGGAAAUUUCAUCUGUCAACUGGCUGUACCAUCCAAAACUAGUCAAAGGCAGGAAUAAGUAGAAAACACAUGUCCUAAAUAGGUACCUCUCUGUCUAUUGCUGAGCCCAAGUUUAGCUCAAAUGGAAUCGUUUGGAUUGGGUUGCUUGUCUUUUUUUAAUGGCCUAAUUUUGUAGCAGUAGCCAUGACUAUCAUAACAACCAAAACAAGAAAAACAUGGAAUUGGACUUAGAGUUAGUACAUUUUGUCUGCCUGUGAAGACAAAGUCCAACUCAAACCUCUCACUCCUAAACACAUGCUAAUUUUUUAGAUUUGACUGGAUUUUAGGUUUUAAGAUGCACAGCUUCUAAUGUAAAUCUCUCUCUGCUACCAUUAACUACAUCAGAUACAGUUAUGAGGAAUGAUCUGUAGGCUUACAUAUUUCUCUAACAGGUUCUAUACCACCUUGGAGUUAUUCAGUUACAAAGAGAGAGAAAGAAACUGUUUUUAUGCCAAAUCCUUUGUCCUCCGUAAUUUUGGGAGCAUGUGGGAUUUCUGCCUGGCAGGUCAUUCUGCUCUGAUUUCUAAGGUUCCUUCAUUAGGAGGUGUAGUGGAAAUGCUAAGUCAUGGCCUGAAACAGUGAUUGAGCACCUGGUGGGAAGGCAGGGCCAACCCAGGAGAGCUCAGCUGCAUGCAAUCCACCUGAGUGAUUGGAAGGGUUGCAGUCAGGAUCCACCCCUUCCCAGACCUCAUUUAAGGGUGGGCAGUAGAGGCAAAGGUAUUGUGCUGGAGAUCCCUGCCUACUGGAGGUCUUCUAAAGGUAAGCAGUUUUUCUUCUUCUGUUUCUGUGUUCCCACCUGCUGUAUUUGGGCUUGUUCUCAUUUGCUGCAGCCUAGGAUAGUGUUACUCUGCUACUAUUGCUAUACUUUCCAUCGUGUUAUAGGUGAGAUAGCUGAUAGUCGCUCAGUCUGAAAGAGACCUGCUCAUCAUUUCAAUCCAGUGGCAAUGGGUUCCCCUGAGUGUCUCCCUUCUUCCACACAUUUCUUCCUCUUUAUGUUCCUAAUGCUAGGACCUGCAAAGUAUCCUGCAUGAGUUUUGCUAUCAACAUCUCUGUUCGGUAGCUACAGCAGAGGAUUUCUCUUCCAGCCGUACACAGAUACUUGUAUUCCCUGUUUCUUAAUAUAUUGAAAAGUAAAGGUAUUUGACUCAGCAUCCUGGCUGAUCUUUACUUACCUCCAUGAAACACUUUUUCUGCCUAAUAAGUAAAAACUCAGAGAAUGUGAAGGACAACCUGCAAAAGAGAGUAGGCAUGGCAUGACUACAUGCAACUGUGAAAGGAAACUUGCAAUAUUUAUUGUCCCCUUUCUUAAGGGUCAGUUUUUGGACCUGGGUUCAUCUAGCUUUAGAAUUUCCCACCACUGCAACACACCAUCUACUUGGAAAGGGGCUAAUCGCAGGGUCUUUUCCUAGGUAGUUUGUAGUUACCUCUGUUGGUGUUAAAUUAAUCCCUUCACCUUUCUUCUCUGUUAGGCCUCUCUGCGUUCUUCCACUUACUUAAAAAGCAAAGUAUCUUUGAAUAAAGCUUUCUUAUUUUACAGUAAUUUUGGUGUUAGCACUGGGGAAAUACUUUAGGCACAAGAUUAUUGCCAACAAUCCUUUAUUUUCUGAAAGAAAAAUAGGAUGUUUCUUGGCAACACCAUCUGUGAGAAAUAGGAUCCUCCCAAACAUUUGGGAAAAAUCCCUACUGCCAGCUCCCACACAUCACAUUAUUUUUCCCUUGGUAUUAUGUUGUCUCUUAAAACAAUGACUUACGUGAAGAAGUAGAAACCAACUGAGUCAAAUGCAGACUUUACUUAUAUACUCAUCAUCUGGAGUGAGAGCCACAUCACUGCCAUGGUGUCAGGAAGCCGGAGGCACACAUGUUGGUCCCUUGUACAGGGCCCUAGAGCAAUCUAGGUAUCAAAUGUGUAUGUAAUAGCCUGGUAUUGCUGGUUUAUUGCUAUCUGUGAAAAGCUAUAGGAAGAGGAUUUGUUACCUGGAGCACAACUUCCCAAAUCUCAGUCAGGACUGAGACUGUUCAUGAUUCAGAUCAACAUGUGGGAAGAAAUUAGCUGUCUUUACUAUCAGUGUGUUCAGCCUGUAGUAUAAUACGGCACUGAAUGUGGAGUUACAAGACCUUGUUUCAAGAAAAACUGUUGUGCAAUGUUUCUGGACAUACUGUUUGAUCCUGUUUUCUUUCACUCUGUGCAUGCGUCAUUUCUUUGUCUCCAGUGAACAGCAAAUUGAGUCAUGACUUUGAAUCUUGAAACAGGUGAACUAACUGUGAGGGAGUGAGAUGAUGGACUCAGACACAGCUUGUUUCCCCCAGCUCUCUCCCCUCCAGCACAAAUCAGCUUAAAAGAAGAAAGGAGAGGGAAAAAAAAAAAAAAAAAAAAAAGGAACAAUAAAGUGACUGAGAUGGCAGGGAGUAGAAAGACCUGAUUUUUAUUGAAAUCACUUUCAAAGCAGAAUCUGAAGCAAAAAAAUGGAAACUAUUUGGAAGAAGGGCAAUGUUUUUUUUCAGCUAUCCAAAUAGGAAACUGGGAGAGAUGGAGUCUGAACUUCUUGUUGGAAAUGCAUCUUUUGUGAGGGAUAAGAGAGAAUUGUAAGGGACAAAUUGGAGAUGUGAUAGAUUACUUGUGGUUGUGACUCUUCAGCAGAGAAAAGGAAAGGAUGUUAUUAAUUACAGGUUUAUGGAAAAAUCUCAUAAAAGAAAGAAAAGAGUGGUAAACAUGAACAUGACUCAGGGGAUUUAGAAUGUAAUGCAAACCUAAAAAUGUGACCAGUGACAACCAGGCAGACAAACUAUAAAUACAAGUAGUCAUGAGAAGCUGGCCUGGUAUAAAUGACCUUAGGAAUUUGAGGCAGAAAAGCACAUUACAUUCGAGGUGUUGAACCCAAGUCCUAAAUAAAUGCUUAAAACACUCACAGGAUUGGAUAUUUCUAUUACUGUUUUCACAAAUUUCCUUUCCAGAGAAGUCUGUUCUGGACAGCACGUCUGACCUCCUGUGUUACUCAGGUCAUGUAGUUUCUCCCAGCCAUUUCUUUAUCAAGCCUCAAACCCUGAAGUUGAAUGAGAGCCUAUCUUUCAAAGGGCAGUAUGUCUUGCAUAGAAGAUUCCAGCUGGUAGUUCACAGAGCUCUGGUCAGUUGCGUUUUCCAUUUAAAAGCCCAUCCUGUUUCUGCGUUGAACCUUGCAGCUUUCAGCUUCUAGCUAUUGGGCCUUCACAUGUCUUUGAUUACCAGAUUUAAGUGCUUUAAGGGUUAUUAUUAUUCCCAGCUCUGCAAAUUCCAUCCAUAGGGUAUAAAUGCCAAUGCAGGCAGGAUUAUGAGAGGAGAAACCUCCUCUGUUAACACAGAUGUUGCCCACUGUUUGGAACUUUGCAAAAUCUGGUUCAACAGGCAAAGUGAGCUGAAGAAGAUGAUGGUUUCAAGUAUAAAACUGUAGCAAAUGCAAGUAUUUUCCCUACUUAAGUAGGACUCUCAUGAGAAGAUAGACGUUCCUGAAGUGAGAAAGAUCUUUCCUGUAUACUUAUCAACACAGAGCUGAGUGGAAUUAUUUAAGAUCAACAAUCAACUAGGCAGGAAACUUGAUUACACUGACCAGCUGUACCAAGCUCCUGGCUGCUUUCAUCUUGUGGGGAAAAACCCCCCUCAACUUAUUUAUUUUUAAGAGUGAGAGAAGGAAAGAUUGUCCAGGCCUAAACACUUUGUUUUCAGACUUAUUGAAGAAUUCAGUGGUAGGUGCAUUUGGCAUGAGUUUGGAUUCAAACUUAUUUUACGUAAUAUCAGAGUAUUCUCAUGAAACCAGAAGUUAGCCUAUCAAAUUGUAGCACAGAAUAAUUUAAGAUUCCUGUCAAGCUCAUUUGAAAGUAUUUCUUUUUCUGUUCUUUGUGCGAGAUUCCCAUUUGUACCUCUCUGAAACUGAAUAUAAAGAACUCCAUAUAAUCUAUGGCUUACAUUAUUAUUGCACCAGUUUUGAGAAUAGAUCUAUUUUUAAGAUGUAGAGUAAAGAACGUACCACAUGUCAAAGAAUUGCUGUUGCACAUUCUCCCUCUGAGCAGCACUACGGCUCUCCUGCCUGUAUUGCAAACAGUUUAAAAAAAAAAAAAAAGUGGGCCUCUUUCCCAGGCUCCUGUUAGAUGUGAGCUGUCUUCCUGAGAGCUGUAUUUUCAUCUUGCUAUAUUUAAAAAAAAAAAAAAAAAGUCUAGUUUUAGCAUAAAGUAAUUACCACAAGCUUAUUAGUGUGCCUGACUCAGGCACUGCAGGCUGGGCAGAUGUUUAAUAUGCACACAUUCUUUGACAAACUUUUAUACAGCCACAGAUGAGUCUGGAAAAAAAAAAAAGCAUAGCAAUGAAUUCCUGCAGAUGGAUUAAAAAUUAAAAACAAUGAUACCUUCAGAAGAAGACAGCAUGAGGUGUGUAUUAACUCUUUUUUAUCUUCACUACUGAUAGUAAGUGUUAUCUAGAUCUAAGAAUAACAGUCUGUGAAAUGUCUCACACUCCUGAAAGGGGGAUAGCUUUGAAGUUUCUUCUCAUCACUAAAUAGGAUUUCUGCUCUGUGGAGCUCUUUAUUGGAAGGUGCCUCCUGCAGCAGCUUUUCAUUAUUCACCCUUCAGUACCCCCUGCAAGACCUUCCCAUCUCAGCACGCUCCCUAUUGUCCAUAUUCACAUAGAAUGCAAAGGAGGACAGGGAGAAAGCCAUCCACAGCUGAAGGCAACCUGUCCAAGUUCUGUACCAGUAACAUCACACCGAUCAGUGGGGACGUUGCUCUCUAAAGGAUACAGGAUGACAGGAGAAGGGCAAUAACACUUUUUGCAUCCCUGGAUUAUGGGUCCUUUAUUGAUUAUAGCCACAAAUGUAGAUGAAGUAUUAUGAAGCUUGUUUACAGUGUUAUCUGCUUGCCUGCCAGUCAUUGAUUCUCUCUGUUAACAUCUUCACUUCUAAGUACAAGAACAGAAGAGCCUUCAGAUGUUCCAUCUCUAGAUAGCUGCACCUUUAUUGCUGUUAAAACCCAAGUAGGACCUAUUUCAAGAAACUGUUCUGGUGACAAAGUUACAGCUUCUGGAAUGGUUGUUUUUACAUACUUAGCAUCAAGAGCAAUCACAGUUUUGAUGAACUUGCCCAGGUUCCUCUUCUGACUGUAUGGGCAAGCUCAGGAUGAGAGAUUUCAGUUCAUACUUUCUUUUUUUGGUCUUUCUGCAAAAGGAUCCUGGAAAGCAGUAGCUUGUUUGCUUUCUACCUUCUGUUGUAUAUAUUGUAAGCAAAAAAAAAUAAUAAUAAUAAUUAAAAGACAAGAUCUCCCUUACCAAGACUUCUCUUCUUUGUUAUGCAAAUAGCAGGCAGACUUUCACUCCUGAUUCUUCUUUCUAAAGGCUUUCUGGUUCAAUGAAUCUGAAUUUGGUUUAUUCCACCAGUGCAUUUUGGAUGUUUACUAAACCAGUGUAUGUGCUCGGCCAGACUAGGCAUUUUUCUGUUGGUGGUUUGAGGAAUAGCUGCUACCUUUUUAUUUCCUCUCCCUUUUUUGGGAGGAGAAAUUAAAUUUCUGUUUUUGUACUGACUGGAUUAACCGGAUGGUCUAAACAAAUUCAGACUGUGCGGCCUGAUUGGAAGCUGUCAGACAAAAUCCAGGUCAGAAGCUACAGUUCACUGCUCAUAGAGAUAGCACUCUCUAGGAGUAUGAGACAAGACUAUGGCAGUGUCUUGUCAUCAUCUUAUUGUUGGGGUGGAACCCUCAUAUUCUUGUUGCUUCUUUUUUCCAUACAGACAGGAUUUGUGGGAAAGGUGACAGAUAAUUGUUUUUAUUAUUAUUCUAGAUCAUGCUUACAGCUUCUUUUCCAGUCAGACAAUAAAUAAAUGCAUUUUCUGGUGUCUCCUUUAGGGGCGUUUUUUCAUUGUGAUUCUGUUUUUCAAACUAGGAGGAUGAUGUGAAUCCUUCAGCUCUUAGUGAUGCCUGGUAUAUGCCCACUAGAGGUCUUUUCUCCCUUCUGCAGUAAUUUGUGCCUUACAUAUGAUGCUAUGGCAAUUUCAUUCAGGUCAGAAAUGAGCUUGAAUGCAUUCACCUUAGACGCACUGCUGAUGAAAGCUUUGUUGAAACUUAUGGUCUUUAAAACAGCUCCAUCUUGAUGAAACAGGAUGUUUUGAUGAAACUUUAAUUCAUUGACAGCACUUUCAAAUGUAAAUAGCAAACCAAAUUAUCUGGCUUCAGAAAACAUUUGGCAGAGAGAACAAACAUUUUUAGUGUCACCUGAGAUAUUUUAAUAAAAGGUAGAAUAACAAGGAUAGUAGUUGAUAAACUCAGAUUUGGAAUUAUUCCCAACACUUUCCAGUAAGGAAGCCUCAAGUUUUUGAAACAUUAUGUAGCUCAUAAGCACUCACUGGAUGUUCUGUUGGGUUUCAUUUAAUCCCUGCUUAGAUGUAUUCCUCUCCGUUUAGUAGAAAUACAGAGCAAAAACAAGCAAGGGAUGUGCUAUGAUUACCAAUUUAAUCCAAGGGUUUUAUUUCCAUCUUGUUUUCACUCUUUCUUAGAUACAUGCAUUGUCUCAGCUUAGACAAGUGAGUACUUCAGUGAGAGGGCCUUCAUUUUGUUAUAUUUGGUAUCUGUUCUACGUAUUCAUUUGUGACAGACACUACAGUAUGUCAUAAAUACUCAUUACUCAUAAUUUUGUUUGCUAUAUUUUGCUCCAUCAUUUGCUCUCUUUUUCCUAGUUAAAAUAUUAAUUAUACUUCUGGAGUUGCUAGGUACUCCUGAUGUUAGCCUCUGGGCCUGUUGUGUUACACAUUAAACAAACAUACAGUAAAAAAAAGUUUCAGAAUUCAGGGUUGGAUGCAAGGGAAGCAAUGUAUCUGCAAUGUUGGAUGCAAUGUAUCUGGGGAUGUAUUGAAUUAUAAGAACAGUAAGACAAAUUAAUCUGUCCUUACACAUCUGUGUGUUUUAGAUUACAGUUCCUAAAUACUUCAUGCUAUAGCAAGAAGCUCAAUGCUACAAAGCUAGAUUUCUUCAAAUGUAUUUGAAUUGUUUCUCAGUGUUUUCACUGUAAAGCUUACAUUUAAUUCUCAUAGCAUUUUUUUAAGUAUAGGUUAUCCUCUAGGUCUCUAAGUUCCUCAUCAAAACAAACAACUUCACUUUUUAGUCAUGUAUAGGAAUGUGAAGGAAAUGCACCACGUUAAUGAUGCAUAUUAUAGGAAAUCUACAAAAUCUUUGCAUAUUGUAUAAAACUCCUGACUUUCUGUUAGCUAAUAUGUAAAGAAGGCUGGAGGGACUGAAUGUAAGGCAUUGUGUGGGCAAAACAGUGCUAGAACAAAAAAAAAUAGUGCUAGAGGAAAAAAAAUACAUAGAAUUGCUAAGGCUGGAAAAGACCCACAGGAUCAUCCAGUCCAAACAUUUGUGUCAUAUCAUUCAAUGUGAUAUGGUCUGUGCUGGAACAGUUUGUUUUCUACUACCUGUUUUGACUUCGUUUCUAGUACCUGUCAAUAUUGUCCAUGCUUAGGGCCAAUGUAUGUACAACUGUAUGUAGAACAAAGUAUGCUGACUGUUGCACAUAAUGCAACAUAAUUCAUAGUCUCAGGUAUGUCACAACAGGUGAUUUGAAGAUGUGUAUGUAUACAUAUAUACUUAUUCUAGAUUGGAUGUAAAUUCUAGUUGUUAUUGAAGAUAUAUUUUUAAUAUUUUUUAAUAAUUGAAUAUGUGGAAGUGGACAGAGGAAAUCUAACACAAAUGCCAGCAAUACAGAGUAGGAAGAGAAAAUAAACAACCAGAUAACUCUAAUAUAUGAGCAAAACAACACUAGAAACAUGACUCUGAUUGGGUAAAAGCAGGUUGAGAGAGCCUUUUGUUAUUUGAUUCCCUCUAUGUUUGGAUUAACACAACUAUAAUUUCAGAGUGGCCAGAACUGUUGGGUAGUAAUGAAAGAGAUGGUUAGCUAUUCUGCUUAAAGAAAGCAGUGACAACAUAUAACUGGUUGUUAAAUGUGCUGUGUUGAUAAUAACUUUAUCAUUUAGUAGAUUUAAUAUUCAGAGAACUAUAGAAUGGUUUGGAUUGGAAAUGGACAACCCCCCCUGCAAUAGGCAGGGACAUCUCCCUCUAGACCAGGGUUGCUCCAGCCUGGCUUUGAAUGCUUUCAGGGAGGGAGCAUUCACAACCUCACUGGGCAACCUGUUCCAGUGUCUCAGCACCCUUACAGUAAAGAAUUACUUACAGUAAAUAAUUACCUACCCUCUUCCAGUUUAAAGAGGCAUCCCCUCGCCCUGUUGCUACCUGCCCUUUAUAUUUUUUUUCCUGCGAUACUUCUCCUCUGAAGAAAAUUCUGACUAAUUAAUUUUAGUGUCUGAAAAGUUUUGUUUUCUAACCUGAAAGAAGACCUUUUUAUGAUUUCUCAGAAACUCAUACACAGCUUGCACUUUCUACAGAGAUGUACAGACAAUGCUGUAACCUCAGGGCUUAUUUUACUUUUGCAAUUCCAUUCUUUAGUCGGUUUUGUAAAUAUAUAGAAAUUUGAAUCCUUUUUCAAAUGCUACAACAUGAACUUUAGUCACAGAGAACUUUGUUUGCUGAGAAAAAUAAAGCAGAUUGCCAAUCUAUAAGAUUUCUGGCAAAAGCUUAAAAAAAAUGCUGACAUUUUAAAAAUAAAUUAAGGAAGAAAUUAUCUAAUUGAGGUGAGAUUUAUAAUUUAAAAAAAAGAACCUCCAACCAUGCCUCCAGGAGGUAGCUACCAAAUUUGGUCACUGGAUGCAUAUAAUUACAUCACUAGAAAUCCGUAACAUGAGACCUCAGAGAGUUCCGGGGACAGAAGAGGGCCGAGUUCAAUCCGGGUGUUGUCCAUAUAUGGCUGCAAAGGACAGCCGGUGUCUGCGUGGAUGCAGCACAGCCGUCAGCACAGAACUGGGACAAAACAGAGCCACGACAGCGUGCUCCCGCCAGCAGCCUUCUUCUGGGAAUUUCAGGAAUGCCCUCAGCACUUAUUCAGCAGGAAGCUAUCGGUUAAAGGCACACCGCCACGGUUCUGUGCGUUUCUUUACUGAAGAAGCUUGUGUCCCUUUCCAAUAGAUGUUACUUAGUUACAGGGGUAGAUGAUCAUGUGUUUUCUGUAACAUUUAAUCUUUUUAAAUAUGAUCUGCUCUUUCCUACCUAUUUUUACUGCCCACUAUUUACAUAUAAACUAGUGUUGCCUUUUACUUCCCACAUAGUGAAUAUCUAUUUCUGAAACAAAUUUAAUAUGUUUGAGUCUAAUGAGUCAUGAUGAAUAACCAUUUCUUAGUCAUGAGGAAUGCCACAUUAGAAUGAUAAGAAAUGCUUCUGAGAGCAAUUCACAGUGUAUUUCAGAAUGUGAAUAUGAUUUGACAGAUAAUGAAAAAAAAUAAGUCUGUACCUUGAACAAAUGUUGAUAUUUGUGAAUGGAUAGAUUACUUUACCAAGAGAAGCUGAAGACUUCAAGGCCAUCUGUGAAUGGACUGUCCAGCCUUAUGUGCCCGAAGAAUCAUAAGUACGUUUUGAGUGUUCUACAAAAGCACAUUCCUCAGGUAUUGCAAGUAAGAGUGCUCUAGCCUAAAAGCAAAGGAUAAUAGUCAUAUUAGUUUAAAUGGUACUGAUUACAUGUGUAAAAUUAAACAAGUAAACAAGUCCCAAAGUGCUCUGAAGAGUUGCUAUCUUACAAGCUCAAACCAUUGCAGCAGCUUUAAAUGGAAUGUAUGAGAACAGCACAGACUCAGUGAGAAGUGGAUGAGCUACUGGUCCAAAUCAGGUUUUCUGAGGGGUUUUGUUGUUUUCUGAAUCAAAAUUAUCCUCAGAUUUUUUUAAAUUAAGAGUAGAUUCAGAGUUUAAGUGGUCCCACAGAAAUCCCACACACCUUUACACAAGUUUACUUCCUACACACGUAGAUAUAUGUGCAGGUGUAUAGUGAGCAUUUUCUGUGUACACUCAGUCCUGUGUGCACAACAUAGCUGAAAGGAGAUAAAUCACAUUUUAGAGGCUAUUUUUUUUUUUUAAACAAUGACAGCAGUAUAUAGCAUACUUUGCUUGUAGAAACUGUGAUCUAACAUCUGACCCAGGGUUAAAACUUCUAUGCAUACCCAGAUACCUAAAUAAUAGCUUUAUUUUAACUGGUCUGGUACUCUGCCAGCUCCUCAUACUUCACCUGGGAGCCAGAUAUUUUACACAUCAGUCAAAAGGUGUUUAUGUGCGCAACUAUAAAUAAAAAAUCCAUUUGAGGAGCAAAGUUUGCAAAAGGCUUUUGAUCUGUAGCAUCACAGUAAAACACAAUAUAUGUAAAGAUGCACAUAUAUAUGUAUCGACUAUAAGGAUCAUUUGCUUUAAAGAUUUGUUUCUUUCAAAAGAGACCAGUUACAGCACCAAUUUCUGCACAGCCAUUGGUUUGAGGACAUUGUCUAUUACUUAAGGAAUGAAUUUCACAUCUCACCUCCUCCAGAACCUUCUUAGCAGCAUGUCUCAUUACACUGGGUUUCCUCUGACACAGAAGGACAGCAGGCCGUGAGUGACAGAAACCUCCCUAAUUGAAGCACAGAAAUAAUCAAAUGCUCCUUUGUUUUUGCCCAAUUUGACAGACCAUCAAGAUGCACUGGGAACUGGUAUUUCUGUCUACUUCAUUAUGAGAAUAGAAGCCAGGAUACAUCACCUUUGCCUUCCCUCUUUCCAUUUGUAGAGAUUUAUGCAGCUCAUCAUUUGUUAAAGGAAUGGUAAAGAGUUAACACACCAUUCUUUCAUAGUAGAAUAGCCUCACGUGUUUUUCAUUUUCUGGUUUGGAAACUCACAGAAAGAUUACCACUGGCAUGUUAUUAAAAAGACUGAUAUGUCUUUGAAGUAGAGUGCUGCCUCUGUCAUCAUCUUUUACCAAAUAAUGGUGCAAACCCUGAUUAAACACUUUUUUUUUUAAAUGAACUUCACUUUUAGCAUAGGAAAAAAAAUUGAAAGGUAAUGAUUUGAAAACAAAACACCAAAUACUAUUUCGCAGGAACUGUAUGGCAAAUGGAACAGAACAUGCUAGCUCUACAGGAAACAAAAGUAAGCAAUAAACUAUGUCAUCACUACCUCUGUUCUUUUUUGAUAGAUAGGGAAACAUUAUUGCAAAGUUCAGUAAGUUCAAUAUACAGUCUUAUUGAAUGAAGUGAAAUAGGCAUAAGAAUUGCUGCUUCAUUUUACAUUUUCUUUCAAUGGCAAGUUAUGAGCAUUAGCUAUUGCAAAUCUAGCCAUCUGCUUACAAUCUGUAACUAGAAAGAGUUCUCCACGUGUCUGCACUGAUACAUGUUCAUGUCAGUGCAAUAUAAAGUAACUUAAACUUCUCUUACUUUUUCUCCUCAAUUAGUUGCUCCUUGCUACCAAUCAAUGCAAGGUAUUGAUUCUAAGUAUUGGUAAGGAGUGUUAUUGGCUAUGUUAUAUAGAUAAAACCAUAAGGAGCAGGCCAAAGAACACUGAUGCAUCCAUCCAUAUACUAAUGGUGUGAUUGCACAAGAUCCUAGAGUUUCUUUUGGGCUGCUUUGGCUGCAUGCCCAUUCAACUUGCACUCUCCCAACAUGGCCCAGAUAUAUUGACAACAAACACAGAGGAGUCCAGGAGCUCCAGAAGUUUUUAUACCGGCUAACAGAAAUAAAACAAUUUGGGUAGGACAGUACAGUUUUUCAUUGUUUAGGAAUGUUCAGGAUGCACUAGUAAUCCUGAUGAUCUUAGUGGCAUGGAAUAGUCAUUUAUUAUAGGCCUUUUAUAAAUUUGGCUGCUCCUUUACAUGUAGUAAAAGACAAAAACAAAAAGGUCUGGAACACAGAUUUGUAAAAUGGGUAUAGCCUUUAAAUAUUGGUUAGGUACAACACUAGAAGACAAUAAUAAAGUAUAAAACACAUGCUUUUAUAUGAGAUCUUACUCUAGAAAUUAUCAGGGUUACCUAGAGCUGAAGUUUAAUUGAACUUUUUCCUUCUAUCUGCUCAAAAGCUGCAAAAUAUGAGUAGGAUAGCAAGGAUAAAGGGAAGCCAAGAAAGCUUAGUCUUGAAUCUUUCAUACACUUCUUCUUUAUUCUUGGAGAAAAAAAGGUAUAAACCACUAUAAAUGAAUGGUAAACAGCAUCUAACAAGAACAUCUACCUACCUCCAUCUGGUUUCUGUAUUAAAAUGACUCUUACAUAACAUCCACUGACUUCUUUACUGAAUAGAGGAUAAUUAUUAAAAUAAAUAUUAAAACACGAUUUUGGAGGAUUAACAAAUAGAUACGUAUCUUUAAAAUACUGGGUCAAAUAUUCUGAGUAAAUCUGGAGUAGCUGAUGGUCCCAUUCACACGCUGUACUUGGAAGAGCUGAAAUACACGCAGUACUUUUUAUAGCUGAGCUCAGAAGUGACAUUUCUCAAAUUUGACAUUACAUGAAUAUCCAAAAGAGCUGAAUGAUACUUUAGUCUGUCUUACUUUGUCUUACUUUACUUCAUGAAACACACACAGCAGAAAAGAUCUGCUGUUCUUCAUGCAGAUUACAUGAAGGGGGCACAUUCUCUGCCUCCUUUCCUUCUCCUAUCUUUCAUCAAAGAAUUAUAUACUGUUAAAGUGGUGCCUAUUUAACGAACUCUUGCAGUACUUUCCUUCAUCCCCCUGAAAGGUUAAAUAUGGAGUGGGACAUAUUUGUUCUCAUAAAGCAGAAACUCAGCUCUUCCAAAAAUUUGUAAUAUAAGAAAAAAAAUUUCUUCCUUCUGCUGUGGUUUGUUGAAGCUUGUUUUCUUUCAUGUCUUAUAAUAAGCCAUGGCAUUUAACGAUGCCUUCAAUAAACAUCACUAACAUUUUUUUCCCCUCUCUAGAUGCCAAUGAUUAAUCUUUUCUAUGUUUUCAAAGAACUUGUUUAAUGCCACAACCACAACGACAGCUUCCCACAAAAACAAUUUCUAGCUAAACCCUCCAUUUACUCCAGUAUUUAUUCAAUCAACAGAAGUCAUCUAUUGUCAUACAAGCAACAAAGCUAGCACGUUCAUCAAUUAAUGGAUAUAUUUAGAUACCUUUCUUAAUAUCUCCACCUCCUUUUCUUUGGUUAGGAAGGAUAAAAGUGAUUCUUACGUUCCAGCAAUAGAAGCUGAAAACAGUUUCUUCAAAUGACACGCUGCUCCUUUUUAAAAAUAGGUUGGUAGCAUGGGCCAGACAUGCCACGCAGGGUGGUGCAGUUAGACCACAGUCAAGGCCACGCUGUGCUCUUGUUUUCUCAGUUAGAAAGCACGGCUAGUCAAGGCAGGAAUAACCAUUAUAAAUGUUUCCAGGUCAAAUGUACCAGCUGUUUGUGGGUGAAGGCCUAGGCUUAAGUGAUGAGGUACUGCCAUUUGCACACUUCCUAUAUUUAAGUGUAAUUUACCAUGGUAAACAGGUGGUGCACUUUGGAAAACCAAAAUAUCAUGCUUCUUCAGAGCAUCCCUGACUUUUUCAGCCAGCCUUUCUACAGAAGCUAUGACAAACACUAGAUAUGGCUUCCCCACCUGACACCGCUGCUUCAGUGUCUCUUUCAUAAAGAAUUUCUUCACAGUGGAAGCAUUCCUGUUUGUUCCAGUAAGCCUGGUAAUGACAGAAAUGAAUCUUUUCCAACCUAGUUUCCUAAAUGCAUGAGUGCAGAGGGAGGAAUUUAAACACAAACCAGAGCCAUUGACUAUUCAUCAGGGAAACAUUUCAUAUACACAGUGAGGAUUCCUUUACCAAGCUUGUACUUGAAUUGUAUAUUCAAUUUACGUUGUGCAGAGCUCACUGCCCAAAUAUUGUACAGUUUAACGUCCUCUCCCUGACCUUAUUCUUCCUUUGGGAUUCAGCAGAAGAGUAAAUAAAAGCUUCUCAUCUCUCAUGUUGACUGGACCUGACUGCUUCCUUUAUGGCAGGGCUAAGAAAUCUAAAGUUCAUCAGUUCUGACUUCAUGCAAAUUACCACAUAAUUUUUUUUUGAUAUUAAAGUUAGACGUCAUGAAGUACUUGGAAAAUGUAUGGCCUGCUAACCGUGUUUGAAAGGUUUCUUCCAUCCUCAAGAAAGAAAAAAGGUAUUCAUACAUGCUCUAUGGCAACUCAUAAAAAGAAUUCACAAAAUGUGCAUAUGAGCAAAGCCAGGAUGAGGCCCUGACACGCUGGGCACUAAGUCCUCAGCCAGAUAAAACUUCCACUGGCUUUCAUGAAUUGAAAAGAACAUCUGCAGUGCCAAUUUAUAAUCUCAGUGCACCAGUUCACACUCCUAAAAUUACUUUCAACUACCGCUAGAAUUAGUACUAAUUUCAAGAAAUAAGGACACAUUUCAGGCAUUUGAUGCCAAACUGUUUCAGUAACAGUACUUUAAAGUAAUGAGAUUCUGAUCCAAAAGAAGUGGAGAGCAAGAGACUUAAUAGAAUUUCCACUUAUUUUCACCAGGCUUAGCAGCAAGUGAAUUCUGAGCUCAACUCACAAGCAGAGAAUAGCUCCGCUCUGCAGUGAUGGACAGUGGAACCUGUUCGUUUCCUUGUAUGCCUCCUUAUGGUCAGAAGUUCAUUCUCUAAAACCGUGACCAUGGGAAAAAAAAAAGAAGUAUAAAUGUUCCAAUGCAUCCAGGCCUUCUUUGUAAAUCAGAAAUUUACUCCACUGACAGAAAGUCUCUAGUCAUGUAAUUAAAUCAGAUUAUAACUGGUUCUUUACAUUUAUGUUAACCUGAAUAGUGUUGUAUUACUUCAGUCUUUUAAUUCAACAGUGUUCAGAUGUUUGCUUUGCUUUUCAGGACUUUUCAUGUGAGAACUGCAGCAAGGAAUUUGUCAGAGACUGGGAGAGGAAGGCAAAAGUAGUUAAUAUUGAAAUGCAAAUUAUUAUAAGUGAAAGGAUUUUCUCCAUCUUCACUUAGUUUCUGCAAUUUAUAUCCUUAAAAUAAAAAGGAGUAGCUGAAAAUAUGUUACAAUAAAACCCAGUAACUUUGUCUCUUUCAUAUUCUCAGUCUUUGUUUUAUUUGGAGACUGGUACACAGAAUUUUAUCUAUAAAUCAAGCUCUUGGAAAUAAACUUGCUGAAAUCGCAAUCAGAAUCAAAUAUUUAUGUGAUGAUUUUUGUGAGAAGUUCAGUAAACGCGCUGUCAUCAGAUAAAUUCUCAAGAAAACAUAUCAGAUUCUUUUUUCCUCAGCUUGGAAAAAUAUGAUUCAGUCAUGUACAAGAAAAUUAUGCUUAACAAAACAGCUGCCUGAGCAGGCCUGCACAGCAGCACCUCCACCACACUGCCCAGUUUUUUUUCCCCCCAAUUGUUAUGGUGUAACAGUAUUCUUUUGACAUUUCCAACAGCUGACACUUGGACACUCACAGACCUGCUCUGCUGUCCAUCCCCAAACUGAUCCUGUUUGCUCCAUUUCCCCCUUGCUGUUGGUCUCCCUUCCCUGUGCUUUGAGCCAUUUAAGGCUGAUGGCUUCUCGUUCGUCAUCACAAUCACCUUGCCUUCUCCUAACAGAAAAUACAGAUCAUAUACCCAUACUCUUCUUUAUCUCACCUUGUUUACACUCAUGCUUUUCACUCUAACUUUAUUGUUAAGCUCAGCAAAUCUAUAUAAGAGAGGUGCAGGAAACCACAUCAUAUUUAUUCUUGUGCUCCCCUUGGUUAUUUCACAAAUUCACUCCUUUGAAAGUCAGAAGCAUUUUAAUUUCCAGUCUAAGUUCCCAUUUUAUUCAUGUUGUAUAUCUCUUUGGUCCUUAUGGAACAAUAUCCUUAUUCUGGAUAACAUUCAAAAAAAAAAAAAAAUUAAUUUUGUUUCUCUAAAUUCCACAAAAUGUGUAAUUUUCUUCCAGACCUCUUCUUUUCCCCAAAGAAAAGGUUGAGAACUGUACACAUUUUUUCAUUAUUUCAUUUUUUCAUAUUUUUUCUACCAGUACUGAUUACAAAGGCAUUCAUACAUAAUGUUGAAAAUGCCUCUCCUAAGACAUCCUCAGACUGCCUACACAUUUGACUUCUUUCUUCCACCUGGAGAUUUAGUCAUCCACUGACUUAUUAAUACAAAUAAUUUUUUUCAACUUCUUGAAUUUGCUUGAACUUUAUCCCAGACCACUUGUUUAGGCAUUUCAAUGCAGGCUACAGCAGUUCAGCUUACAUUUAUUUAUUUCUAACUAGUGGGCCUUGUAUGGGAAAGCUGAGGGCCCAUUACUUUCUGUUAGUCAUGAGAUCCCUGUGGAUUUUAUUAAUAAAUUGCUGUUGUUGCCAUAAAAAAAAAAAAAAACACCCUAAAAUCACUGACAAUAUUAAAUCACCGAUUUCUCUCACCAAACAGAACUACCAGUUCUGCCUGUUAGCAGUUGAGUAGUUGUUUUGAAACUUUAGCUAUCGUUUGCUGAAAACAAGGUAGUAACAAAUAGUUCUGCUAAUUAUUGAUGUCUCCUUCAGAAGGCCCUACGGACUCAGCCUAGCUAAACCAUGGUGAAAAGUUUUCCAUUUUUCCUCUGACAUUUAUAGAUUAUCAUGUAUGGAAUUUCAUGGAUUUUUACCAUACAAAAGAAACCAAUUGCACAUUCUUGAAAGAGUAUAAAGGAGUCUCUUAAGAUUUUGUUCAUUUAGAAUAAAGAAAAUUAUACUAUUAGUCCUCUGUUAGUUCCCAUGAGAAACACGUUACAACACUUCACAUAACUCUCCACUCCACUGAGAUUUAGAGUGCCAUUCUGUUCAAUGUCUUUGUUAGCAUAAAUAAUAAUAAUAAAAAUCAUCACAAGAUGAAUCCUUGUAAACAUGUGCUAUACUUUGGACUCCAACUAAGAACAGCAAAGACAUCAGCACAGCUGUAAUGUGUCACUUCCCUAGUAGGCCCAUGGAUUCCCUUCUAGAUGAGUCAAUAAAUAGGUAAUGUUUGAAUGUUUCAUCACAGGUUGAGAAGCUGUGCCUGACAAACAAAAUCAACUGCAUAAGGAAAGAAAAAUUCUACAUUACAGGAGCUAGUAUAAGAGUACAUUCCGUGUUCUCUUAUUCCCCAGUGAAGGGAUAGCUAACUUUCUGGCAGAAAAGGUUGAGUCAUCCUGUUCUAAGUGAACUAAACUUUGUUUUGGAGAAAUCUAUCUUGUAAUUGUUUGUCUUUUUAUUUUUUCAUAUCAUAUAUCUUUCCAUUUGGAUUGGCUCUCGAGCUGGCAUUUUAGAGAUAUUUCAGGAAUAAACUUACAGCACUUGCAACUUUAACAAAGGAAAUAAGUUAUAUAAUUAGUAUAAUUAGUAACCUUCAUGCCACAUUUCUGAUCUUAAUACUAUGGCAAGUUGAAACACUAAGGAAGAUGAAAACAAUGCAUGCAGAGUAUUAUUGGAAUAUAUGUUUUGAGAUUCAAGCCUAAGAAAAACUUUAAGAUACAUAAAAGAGUAUAUUUACAUUUCAGGAACUCAUCAGAUUUAGAAAUGCAUCCCAUAAUUUAUAAUCAGCAUUGAUAGAAUCAUCCUCACAGUUGGAUAAAUUGAGCUUAAUAUUUCCAAGCCAGAAGACAACAUUAAAAAAAAAAAAAAAAAGUUUUUUAGGUUAAAGCAACAACUGCAAAAAGCCCGCUUACUUCUUGAGAAGCCUGAUUAUUUUCCCAGGUAUUAGCACAUUUUUUUCAUCCACUUGCCUACAGCAAUGAAAAACCUACUGUAACAUAAUGGAAAGUGCAGCAGUGACAGCAGAAUAGCAAAGUCCUAGGCCAUAACAAGCAAAAACUUGCUCAAAUACAACAGCUAUGAACACAGAAACAAAAGAAAAAAUCUACUUACCUUCAGAAGACCUGAGGAACACAGGAAUCUCCAGUAGAAUACCCACACCUCCACUACCAAGCCUUAAAUGAGGAGGGCCCUAGCUCCAGCCCUUCUAGUCACUCAGGUGCACUACACACACCUGAGCUCCCUCGGUUAGCCCUGCCUUCCCACCAGGUGCUCAAUCAGUGUUCGAAGCUGUGACUUAGUAUUUCUGCUAUGCUUAUCACCAUAAGUUCUUUACUUGGGUUGAAGCUUAGAACUGAAGAAGAGCACUACUGAAAAGGUGACUAAAAAAACAUACUACAAUUGCUUACAGUUUGAGUGUUCGGAAUUCCCAUAUAGAUUUUUUAAAAUAAACAAUCACAACAAAACAAUAAAGGGAACAGUAAAAAUUGCUCUAUUCCUGAAAAAAUUAAUUUGAGUUUUGUCUUAAAGAAAUUUGUUUCUAUUCCACGAUAUGUAAUAAGGAGAAAAUCCAUACAGGAGAGAUAAGCAGCCGAAAUGAGGUGCAAAUGGGCAUAGACUGAUUUACUCUCAGCAAGGUUUUAUGUGGGAUUUAAGAAAAUCCUCAUAGAAAGUACAUGGAGAGACUUUGUUCAGUUGGAACUAGAUAUGCUCCCUCAACACAAUACUGGUAGGAGGCAACUUUGCACUGCUAUUGCCAUGUGCUCUUCCUGCUAUGUGCAGAAAGGAUGUCUGAGGUUUUUUGGACAUGUUUAACCAGCACUGUGUUUAGUUUAAAACAAAAUGAUUAUUUUAAAAUAGAAAGUUAGCUUGUAUUAAAAAACAAAAAGGCAGAACCUGACAUACGUUUUAAAAUUGCACUAAGUUGAAACAUCCUUAAGUAUUUUCAUAAUGUUUAACUGCCACUACUUCUAACUUGCAGUUUUCCUUUGUGGAGGGAGAAUUCCUAGUACUGUGGUUCAAAAUACUACCAGCCUACAGGAUGAGAAAAAUUAUGAAGAGAAGAUGUGUGAAGCACUCAAGGCCUCUGAGGUCUAAUAUAGCUUAGUCAAACAUAAUUUCUUAUUUACUUACGUAUUUAUUUAUUCAUUAUGAUUUCAUAGAAGCGGCAUCAAAUUCGUAUCCACACAAAAUAGGGGAUUUUAAAGUUUAGAAUAGGACUAAAGAAAUACACAGCUUUCAGCCUUCCUCUAUCUGGAAUCAAAUGCUUGAGUACCAGGCACACAAAAUGACUGAGGUUAAUUUCAGUAUGUAAGGAAAAGGAAAGAAAUAUCUUCCAAGUAUGUUACUUUUUAUCCUUUUGCUCCUUUUCAUGGCUGAUCUUUAACAUAAGCACUUAUAAAACUUAGAAAGCAAAGAGUUCCAAGGAGAUAACUCCCUGACCAAAGAGCAGGCAUACAACAGAAAGAAUGUAGUGGAUCUUAUUUAUAGGCAGCUCAGUGUAUUAACCUUAUGCUACCCAUCAGCCUGUGAAAUAUAAGACAAGGUGGUAGUUUCCACAGCACACUUUGAGGGUAAACCCAGUGACGUCAAAUAUAUAACACGUUCUAUAACUGAAGUAAACAAAUUCAUUCUAAGGCAAAAAGAUUUUUAGCAGUUAUACAAAUGUUGUAUUAUUGGCCAUUGUUUCAGGAGAGCGUUUGGGGGGUCCAAGUGCCGCUUUGGCAAAGGCCUUGUGUGGAGGGCUUGCUGCCAAGUGCAGCUGUGCAGUGACAAGACUGGAAUGUCCUCUGAGCAAGGCUGGCUACAAAGCUCUGAGGACCGGAGGAGUGGGAGGUUCUCAAAUAGCUUGAGAAAUAUGAAAGCCUCAUUCAAAGAUAAAAAAAAAAUCAUUAAAACUUAGUCAUGUAACAAGGAAACGUGAAAAUAACUUUGUAACAAUGCUGCUGUUUAUCACCCUCAUAAAACAAAUUUUGCAUGUGUUCAGUAUACUUCCGCAAAGGUUGAGUUUUUCCAAUGGGGUUUGUGAGAGUGGGUUUCAAAUAGCAUAUCACAAUCCAGUAUAUUAAAGACCCUAAUCUAUCAGGAUUCUGAUCUUUUCAUAAUAAACUCUAACUUCAUAUUCCUACAAACUAUAACUAAGUAUUCCAGCUUCCUUCCCAUCUGGAAUGCAUGCUUUCCAUGUGUUUCAGAAGUGUUACUGUCUUGCAUGCUCUUUAGGAUCAAUAAAAAGAGUCACUGAUUGACCAGAGAGUACUUAACUUUACUUCUCAGGUAUUAAAAGCAAAUUCUAUACUUACAUCCUGGUUUGCUGCUUUGAAACCCGGUAAAAGAACAUGCAUUUCAGCCAAAAGUUAUCUUCAGAAAGAGAACUGUAUCUGUACUGCAAAAUCUUCUUGAAGCGAGGCAACGCAAUAAAGGAGAGUAUAUUUGCCCGCAGUCUUCCAAUAAUGCCUAUUUUUAACUGUAUCAUAAAUAUUUUAUUUAAAAUAGAAAGGAAACAACUGCAGGCUCUGAACAGACAUUAUUAAGGCCACCAUGGUAGGAAAUGAUUCUGGGAACCAGAACAUUUCUGAAUACCCCCAGCUGAGGUGCAGUGGAGUGGAGUAAAGCUGUUGCUAUUGUUUAGUUACAUACAGAAAAUUAAUAACAUAUAGCAAA
ensembl:lncRNA